rnacentral:rRNA from 1 species
CCUACGGGAGGCAGCAGUGGGGAAUAUUGCACAAUGGGCGCAAGCCUGAUGCAGCCAUGCCGCGUGUGUGAAGAAGGCCUUCGGGUUGUAAAGCACUUUCAGCGGGGAGGAAGGCGGUGAGGUUAAUAACCUCAUCGAUUGACGUUACCCGCAGAAGAAGCACCGGCUAACUCCGUGCCAGCAGCCGCGGUAAUACGGAGGGUGCAAGCGUUAAUCGGAAUUACUGGGCGUAAAGCGCACGCAGGCGGUCUGUCAAGUCGGAUGUGAAAUCCCCGGGCUCAACCUGGGAACUGCAUUCGAAACUGGCAGGCUAGAGUCUGGUAGAGGGGGGUAGAAUUCCAGGUGUAGCGGUGAAAUGCGUAGAGAUCUGGAGGAAUACCGGGGGCGAAGGCGGCCCCCGGGACAAAGACUGACGCUCAGGGGCGAAAGCGUGGGGAGCAAACAGGAUGAGAUACCUGGUAGUC